CCCCGUUAGAUCAGUUAAUACUCAAAUGGAUGCUCUUCUCUUCUGGUCUGUUUGCAUGGCUUCUCUAAUCACGUUGGAUUUUUUUUUUCCUCUUGGUCCUUUUUUUAACAAAUGAAUAUUGUUUGUGUAAUGCAGUCAUAAUAUUUACGCAGGGACGCUGGAGGAGUGAGGUGGAGGCUCAGCCGAGCUGGGAGCACACAAACUCGGAUGAGGACUUGAAGUCCACUCCUGCACAUCCAGCUUGAGGCUGGAAGGGGCAGUCGGCUCCAGUUUGACCACAGGAAGCAGUGAGUUCUUCGGAGAAGGGCAGACGUCUCAGGGGGGGGUGUUCUCCCCCCCCCCCCCCCCCUCCUCCUCCUCCUCCUCCAUUCACCCACUCACUACCCCAAAAUGACCCCUGACCCUUUCAUCUGUUUAUAUCAGAGCAUGGAAGUGAGAAAUAGUGAUGAGUCACUCUAGCCGUGUGUUUACACUCUGGAGUCACGCAAGGAAGGAAAUCAGCCACGGUCUGCUAAAAGUGGAGAGGUGAGAGGGCUGCUGUGAUUUACCUCUCAGGACUAGAGCUGAUUUUGCGUCAUCCCUGCUGCAGCUUUAGCGGCGUGGAGGACUGCGGUGGAGGGAAGAGGCCGACUGCGAGGGUCGAAGCGUAGAGCGCUCACUACACCCUGCCUGGACAUUGUUUAAGGAGAUUAAACCACAAGAAAACUCACAGUGGAUCUAAAUAUUAGACAAUUCUUAUGAAUUAUUGACAGAUACGUGGCUCCAUGAUUGCCGCCUGGAAUCAGGCCCGUCUUGGAAACAUUCCAUUCUGGGUUUCGUUUUGAGAAAGGGGUUUUAUUUUGAUUAUUGUAUAUUUCAGACUACGAUCAUUCAUUGGAAGUUAAAAAAACUUUGACUUGAGUUACAGAAAAAGCCUAAUGAUGUUCAUGCCCUUGUUGUGUUCAAAUGAUGGCGACUUAUUUUUUUGCUAUUUCAUUUCUAAUGUCAGAUUUUUUUGUUGAUUCUUUAUGACAUUCCAAGUCUGGCACCGUAUAGCUUAAUUAAACUUUACAUGUUUUGGCCAUAGUUUAAAAAGAGAAACUAUUCAUAAUGAAGUGAUGAGUUGAUUGUAUGACAGAUGGGUUUCAGUGAUAUAUAUUUAUCAUGUUAGCGGCUUAGAUAAACCAGGCAAUUUAGAUUUUGACGGUUGACAUUUACUUGUAGCUCCUAAACAGAUUUGACACAAAAGUUUUGCGCAUCAGGUCGACUCUCUGUGAU
rnacentral:lncRNA from 1 species